AUGGCGUUUCUGGGAGGAUCAUUGCGCGUCACAAGGAGCAUCGGCAGCCGGAAGAUGAUGGAGGGGAAGAGCCACAGCAGGCCGGGGUCGUGGCGGCAGGCACCGGCGCCCGUGAGGCAGUUGUUCUGGAGGGUGAGGCGGGCCAUGCUGCGCCCGAAGCGCCGCGCCGUGAGAUUUGGAUACGACCUCAAGAGCUACUCCCACAACUUCGAUGACGGCCUCGUCCCAGCUCACCGCCUGUAG
rnacentral:rRNA from 1 species